rnacentral:rRNA from 1 species
CAUGUAGGGGCCAAGCGUUGUCCGGAUUUAUUGGGCGUAAAGAGCUCGUAGGCGGCUUAGAAAGUCAGGUGUGAAACCUCCAGGCUCAACCUGGAGACGCCACUUGAUACUUCUAUGGCUUGAGUUCGGUAGGGGACCAUGGAAUUCCUGGUGUAGCGGUGAAAUGCGCAGAUAUCAGGAGGAACACCGAUGGCGAAGGCAGUGGUCUGGGCCGAUACUGACGCUGAGGAGCGAAAGCCAGGGGAGCAAACGGG